rnacentral:lncRNA from 1 species
GUUCAUCCAGACUUCUCCCAAUAUCUGUGAGCAUCCUCAUGAUAUUUUGUUUGAACUCUUUGUCAACAAUGAUUAUACACCUUCUUCUUCCUGGUGCCAUGUCAAGCCUGGUACAAAGGUGCUCCUGCUUACAAGUAAAAACUCUUGGACAUAGCAAUAAACAAGCAUAGGAAACAUCUGAAAGGUGGAAAGAAAGCAGGCUUCCUAAGGACCAUGGGAUUUGAGGAGCACCAUAGGAAAUUAUGGUGAAUUCCCUGAGUUUGCUGAUUGCCCCUAAUAUUUUGUACACAAAGCCUUCCAGAAGCCUUCUACUUUUAACCAUCAACAGGGAAGCAAACAAACAAAAACACCUUCAAGAAAAUUCUGUUUCCCAUUUCCAGAGGACCUGGGAAAGGGUGGACUCACAACAGAAAAUUUUUCAGGUAAU